UUAGUGUGGAUGUGUGUUAGUGUGGAUGUGUGUUAGUGUGGAUGUGUUGGUGUGGAUGUGUGUUGAGUAAUGGAUGUGUUAGUGUGGAUGUGUUGGUGUGGAUGUGUUAGUGUGGAUGUGUGUUGGUGUGGAUGUGUUGGUGUGGAUGUGUUAGUGUGGAUGUGUGUUAGUGUGGAUGUGUGUUGGUGUGGAUGUGUGUUAGUGUGGAUGUGUUAGUGUGGAUGUGUGUUAGUGUGGAUGUGUGUUGGUGUGGAUGUGUUAGUGUUGAUGUGUGUUGGUGUGGAUGUGUUAGUGUGGAUGUGUGUUGGUGUGGAUGUGUUGGUGUGGAUGUGUUAGUGUGGAUGUGUGUUAGUGUGGAUGUGUGUUGGUGUGGAUGUGUGUUGGUGUGGAUGUGUUAGUGUGGAUGUGUGUUAGUGUGGAUGUGUGUUUGUGUGGAUGUGUUGGUGUGGAUGUGUUGGUGUGGAUGUGUUAGUGUGGAUGUGUUAGUGUGGAUGUGUGUUAGUGUGGAUGUGUUAGUGUGGAUGUGUGUUAGUGUGGAUGUGUUAGUGUGGAUGUGUUGGUGUGGAUGUGUUGGUGUGGAUGUGAUGGUGUGGAUGUGUUGGUGUGGAUGUGUUAUGUGGAUGUGUGUUGGUGUGGAUGUGUUGGUGUGGAUGUGUGUUGGUGUGGAUGUGUGUUGGUGUGGAUGUGUGUUGGUGUGGAUGUGUGUUGGUGUGGAUGUGUUAGUGUUGAUGUGUGUUGGUGUGGAUGUGUUAGUGUGGAUGUGUGUUGGUGUGGAUGUGUUGGUGUGGAUGUGUUGAGUGUGGAUGUGUGUUAGUGUGGAUGUGUGUUGGUGUUGGUGUGGAUGUGUUAGUGUGGAUGUGUGUUGGUGUGGAUGUGUUAGUGUGGAUGUGUGUUUGUGUGGAUGUGUUGGUGUGGAUGUGUUGGUGUGGAUGUGUUAGUGUGGAUGUGUUUAUGUGGAUGUGUUAGUGUGGAUGUGUGUUAGUGUGGAUGUGUUGUUGUGGAUGUGUGUUAGUGUGGAUGUGUUAGUGUGCAUGUGUUGGUGUGGAUGUGUGUUAGUGUGGAUGUGUGUUAGUGUGGAUGUGUUGUUGUGGAUGUGUAUUGGUUUGGAUGUGUUAGUGUGGAUGUGUUGGUCUGGAUGUGUGGAUGUGUUGGUGUGGAUGUGUGUUGGUGUGGAUGUGUGUUAGUGUGGAUGUGUUAGUGUGGAUGUGUGUUAGUGUGGAUGUGUUGGUGUGGAUUUGUGUUAGUGCGGAUGUGUUAGUGUGGAUGUGUUGGUGUGGAUGUUAUGGUGUGGAUGUGUUGGUGUGGAUGUGUUGUGUGGAUGUGUUGUGUGGAUGUGUUAGUGUGGAUGUGUUAGUGUGGAUGUGUGUUGGUGUGAAUGUGUUAGUGUGGAUGUGUUGGUGUGGAUGUGUUGGUGUGGAUGUGUUAGUGUGGAUGUGUUGGUGUGGAUGUGUUGGUGUGGAUGUGUUGUGUGGAUGUGUUGGUGUGGAUGUGUUA